rnacentral:lncRNA from 1 species
UUCGCCUUGUCAUAACCCGCUUCGGUGAAUGGAAGACCAUCUAUAUGUGUCCGAACUUUCUCAUCCAACAGUUCUUUUAAAUAAGAAAAUUUUGUUAAAAUCGGUAUGUCUGUGGAGUCAAUUUCAGAUUUAAACUUCCCCCAAAAUGGGAGCCAUAAGUCAAUUUUUCCAUUGAACUUUGUGAUGGGUAGUUUGGGUAAUUUUGCACCAGAGGUUGGUUUACUGUGUUCAUUGUUUUCACCUUGUUUCGUUUUCUCUAACUCUUC